rnacentral:rRNA from 1 species
CCUACGGGUGGCAGCAGUGGGGGAUAUUGGUCAAUGGGCGCAACCCUGAACCAGCCAAGUAGCGUGAGGGAUGACUGCCCUACGGGUUGUAAACUUCUUUUCUAAAGGAAUAAAGUGAGGCACGUGUGCCUUUUUGUAUGUACUUUCUAAAUAAGGAUCGGCUAACUCCGUGCCAGCAGCCGCGGUAAUACGGAGGAUCCGAGCGUUAUCCGGAUUUAUUGGGGUGAAAGGGAGCGUAGAUGGGUUGUUAAGUCAGGUGUGAAAGUUUGCGGCUCAACCGUAAAAUUGCAAUUGAUACUGGCAGUCUUGAGUAAAGUUGAGGUAGGCGGAAUUCGUGGUGUAGCGGUGAAAUGCUUAGAUAUCACGAAGAACUCCGAUUGCGAAGGCAGCUUACUAAACUGCCACUGACAUUGAUGCUCGAAAGUGUGGGGAUCAAACAGGAUUAGAUACCCUUGUAGUC